UAGCCGAUCUCCGGGUAGACUUAAGCUGAAAACCUGCUCCCAAAACCUGCUUUGGUUGCGAGCAUAAGUCACCAUGUGUUACGGCUCAAGACUGGGUGGACCCAAACGCACGGCACAAAUGACCACAGAAAAAGCGGAAACAGUAGAACAGUUUAUUAGUCCACGGUUGAUCGAGGUUAGUGCAGAAGGUUGCGUCCGUUAGGGGUAAUCCUGAAACCACGGGCCAGGGGGUCCGAAACGGGGUUGGAUGGGUCGGCUUGCAGGUGAACCGACAGUCACGCAUGACGAUUCCAAGACGAUGGUAAUCCGGCAGUAGAGCAGGGUUGUGGUAUGGUUGUGAUGUUGAUGACUGGUAGAGAGAAAGAAGUGAAUUGGGAAUGCGCAGAAUUGAACACAAGUAAACUAGAACUAGGAAUAGAAUUGGGAAGUUACUCAACAGGGUAAGUACUAACGACGAUCGGCUGGAAGACUGGGGUAGAUAUCCUGGUGAUCCUGAUUGCAGAUGUCAGGUGCGGGUGAUCACGAGGCUGGGUCGGGGUCAGAGCAACUCAAUAUCAGGAGUACAGAGCUGCUCCCGCACUACAACUGAUUCACUCCGGCACCAGUCGUCCCGAAUGAGAAGGCUCACUCCUCCGCCGCGCGACUUGCCAGUGAUCCCUUGAUCGUGGUCCAUUCUGUAGGCAGUGAAGCCGUCCGGCUCCACCUCGGUUGACGGGAUGUUACUGUCCAGCCACGUCUCUGUGAUCGCCACACAGGCGCGAUAUUCAUGUAGGUACCUUACGUUUGCCGUCAGUUCAUCCGUCUUCCUCCUCAGGGACUGAGCAUUGAUGAGCAAACAGGUGGGCAGGGGUAGUCGUGUUUUCAUUCUUUUUAGCCUCUGUCUAAUUCCCCCUUGCUUUCCGCGUUUACGUUUGCGUUGUGUAUAGUGAGAACAUAUCCUUUGAUGGUGACUUUGCAGUAGGUUUAGGUCCAGUGGUUUAGAAUUGCACUGUAGGAGAAAGUCUCUUGUGUACUGAAUGAUCUGGGGAACGCAGCCCUCGGCUUUGCCGAGAUUUAGUCCAUAGGUGAAGAGUGCACUCAGAGUCAGUAAGGGAAGUGCAAUAAUCCAUGCUGAUGAAGCCAUGGUUGGAAAAGGGUUGGUAUCGAAGUACAGCGAUCAUAUAACAAACAACCGUAAGACGCACACUAAAAACAAAAACAAAGACGCACCGGUCACGCAAACCUGUCACACUGCGGUCGCCACAGAGCAGCGCCCGCCUACUUCCGAUGAGCAAUCCCUAGGCCUACUACUGUCCCUACUACUAUCCCAUCUCCCCAAUCUUUAUGCAAGAGAGAUUUAACUUAGAAGGCAAUUUUACUCUUCAAUAUGAAGACCCUGACCUUGAUGGGGAACUCUGCAUCUUGACAGAGAUGUCAGAGUUGUCCUCAAAGGCUGUGGUCAGGGUAAUGAGACCAGAACAUUUAAAUUACUCCCCUUCCCCAGAAUUCACUACCCAGACUCAGGAACGCACUCAGAGACGGCCCAAUGAAUUCCCAAUUCCAAAAUGUUGCUAUGAUGUGGAACACAUACUGGAGGCAGGUAACACGGCAUAUAAUACCACACAAACACCCAUAAAACUGACAGAAACAUGACGUUUUAGAAAAAAUGGCUGAGGUCAUUUUUAGUUUCAAUGCCUAUGCCAGUGAUGAGGAGUUGGCAAAAACUGCAGAGGCAUUAGUGCGCAAGCACCCUUGCCUAAAACAGCAUGGUAGUGAUUGUGGUUGGUUGGCUUGGCAGACCAGCAUAUUUUCUAAAAUGGGUAACUAUCGUCACUGGAGCAGUCAUCAAAAUCGUACAAGUGCUACGGCCAACAAUAUUUAGCAGUAAAGCCACCUAUCAGGAAGUGGUCUAAUUUCUUGAUUUGAUUCAAAUCCAAACUUGACACACACACCCAGUUGUGAGGAAGCACAAAGAUUUUUGUGUAAUUUGACCUGUGAUGGGGAAUGAUGCCAUAUACUGCAGCAAUAAUUACCUUGUGUCAUCAUGACCAAUUUUCUUUUUGCAUUUUCAGAUUUGUGCAGAAUUCCAUUGAAUAACAAAUACAAAUUUAAAGAGUACAUUUUAUUCUGCAUUUGAUAAGUAUAUGCCACGUCUAAUGAUAAUGUACCUUGAAAAUGCUGCCUGCACUGGCAAAAUUUCUGAAUCGCUAAGAAACAUCUUUAGGACCUACAGUAUGAUCUCCUAUGUGUAACACUUCCUACCUCAUGAUAAUUUGUACUUUAGUAUUAUUUAAUAUAUUCAUAGGAUUAAUAUUCUGCUGAUUGGUCGUCCCAUUACCCCACAAUCCCUCUUAUCUUUCUAGGAAGAAGUCGAUGUUAACAGCAGAUGGACAAUUACUCUGCGGGCCUUCCCAUCUUCCUGCGGAAAGAGGCUGCUGGAUUUUUUAAGAACAGGAAUGCAGAAGAAAUUGACCUGCCAGACCUCUCGGAAGCAGCUGUAGCUAUUCUCACUGUCUCAAGUGACACAGACUCCCUUGCGAAGUUUGGUCCUGCUAUCCAUUCUAUAGUUUUUGAGGGAGAUUUGUGUGUGAUAUAGCGGAGUUGACAGAGGCAUUCAUUUUGCUGUUUGGCUUAAUUUAUGCGCUUCAUCUCGAUUAUCCAAAGCAAAUGUCCUACACAUUUAAUUUCAUUCAAAAAAAUAUACUGGGUUUGGAUGACCUGAAGCGGUUACCUCCUACUGCUUAGCCUUAAAAAUGAAUUGCUGAUGAUGAAUGAGUAAGAAGUCUGUUUUCCAAAUCUCAUGUUGGUACUGCCAGCAUGUUAAUACUCAAGCAAGCAGGGGGGGAAGAGUACCAUCUUUUAGUUAUUUUUAUGCUUUUAUUUAUGUUAUUUUUGUUGAGUAUUAUUACCUUUGUUGAAGAAAUGGUUUUUAUUUCUUUGGUUUUGAUAAACCCCAUUUCAAGGGAGGCUGUUCCGUUAGAAUUCAAAUGGAGUUCUUAAAUAAAUGGAAUCUGCAGUGAAA